UGUAAUCUCCUUACAAAGAUCUGAAUCGUAAACUGAUUUAUAUCACAAUUUAAGUAUGUUUUCCCUUUCAGAUAACUGGGAGGUAAUACUGUAUAAGGAAAAAAAGGCCCAGGACACUUCAUGUUUGGAGACUGAGGAAGAGGAAGGAGGGCUCAAACGUAAAUCGCGAGUUCCGGCCAGAUACCAUUCCUCAGAAGAGGAUGAUCCUGGGCAAAGGGUCAGGACACCACCAGUGCCUGUGUUUGAAAAACACAGUGGACGCCCAUCUACAAGCACGAAAAGGAUGCAUACAAGCAUGGAAAUGGAGAAAUCCACUACCUGUGAAACCAUUCCAAGUGCUAGCACAAGCACAGGGUUUGAGGUGACGGUCAUUAAGAUGCUGACCGAGCAAUCUCUGGAUUUAAAGGAGCUUCGCAAAAGGGUUGACCAUAAUACAUCACUCCUAAAUGACCUGUGCAGAGACAGACAGUCUGACGUCUCCCUUCAUCUGAGGGAGGAUCCUCUAAGCACAGAUUUACAAUUAGAUCUGCCUCUAACGUCACCUGAGGACCUGCAGGCACUAGAACUGAAGUUAGAGGAUGUGGAUUUUGCCAAU